ensembl:snoRNA SNORD59A small nucleolar RNA, C/D box 59A
UCUUCAAUGAUGAUUAACAUAGUGACUUUCGUUCUUCUGAGCUUACUGAAGCCACAUCUAUGUUCUGAGAAGA